GUCAAAUUGUUGCUGAAGGACGAUGGUCCUCAAAUGAUCCAAGUCAAGUUGUUCAUUUUGUUCCAUUGGGUCCUAAUGCUACGAGAGUUUGGGUAGAAACAGCAAAAGUCCCAGCCGCGUCUCUCUGGAGAUCUACUUCUGAGAUGGAGUUUAUUGAAGAUGCCAUAGGAACUACAGUAGCAUGGCCAACAGAUAAAGUGGUUAUAUUGUAGAGUACCGGAAAUGGAAGGAGAAAAUGGAGAAAAGUAAACAUGCAUGGGCAGUCACUAGAAACCUUUUUGGGAGCUGAAUGUUAGAGUAAAAUAUUUUUUUAUUGUUUAUUUUUUAAAUAGCGUAGUAGGUUGUUCUCGGAUGUUAAAGUUAUCAGGAUACUUCAUUAAACAUAAUAAGUACUUUGUUCUUUUAGUAAUUAAAAUUUAUGAGUCAUUACUCAUAUUGCACCAUAA